AUCGGCGCUCGCACAGACGAAACAGGCGGUGAUGUCCCCGGUCGCCGCGCAGCAGUUCAAAUCGAAUGCUCUGUUUCGUGUUCUUGCCUUCCUCGACAACACCGGCGCACAGGCCUUUGCACUAGACGCCGAGGUCGACGAGGCCGGUAGCUUUCGGAAUCCGGAGAGCGUGUUCGCCGCGGAUGCCGCCAUCACCGGCGUUCUCACAGCGGCGCUGGAUGCACUGCGAGCCAAUGUGCGUCGUCUCUUCACAGACGCCGCAGAGCAGCACGCAUUACUAGCUGUGCUGGGUACCGGCGCGCCGGAACAGUCAAAGAAGGCGUCCCUGUGGAUCACCGCCACCCCCGCGCCGUUACCGCUCGAAGAGGGCGGCACCGCGCCGGCGGGCUUGAGCAGUGACGAGGCCCUGCAGCAGCAGGAAUCCUCCUCCAUCCCGCUUUCCUCGGCACCCGUAAGCACUGCCUGGAGCGAAGCCGUGUUGCAUCCCACCUCUCUCGCGCACUACGCAGACGAUGUCGAAAACGAGAUUCCGAUCCACUUGCUGGUUCGGCUACGCGAGGUGCUCGGCAUCCCCGCGGCGCCACUGUGCUGCUGCAACUGUUCUCCUUUUGUGGAGCAGUUCCUCAUCGACGGGCUUGACGAGUGGCUUCGCCGCUGCCGGGUCGAUGAGGUGAAGCGGAUGAUACUAGCGUGCGGCGUUCAGCCUACGGUGCUGAACUCGACGUUCAUGCGGCAGCAGCAGGCAGCCGAUGCACAAGACGCCGCCCUGUCCGAUGCUCUGGCAGAUUUCGUGGUGGACGUUGUCUUCCCUGUGCCCGCACACGCCGGCAAGGUGUCGGCGAACGCGUCGAGUGCCGCCGCCGCGGAGGCGCUCCAAGACUGGCUCAUCCUAUCCUUCGAGAAGAACCACGAGGCCGUUGACAUCGACGACGAGAACGCUUCGGCGAACGGGCAAAGUGGCAGCAGCGACAACAGCGGCACGAACAGCCAAGGCGAGAGGAAGCGCACCCGCACAGACGACACGCGUCCUUCGGCAGACAACCGUGACGGUCUCGGCUCGUGGGAACCGGCAAAGGGCGAGGAGGUGCUUACGGCUGAGAACAUUGAUCGAUAUCUGCUGGAGUGCCCGCGGCGUAUUCCCAAAGAGAUCCUGCGAGAGAAGCGGAAACGCAUCUCUGACGCAAGCAUCACUGAGUUUGAGCUGGAUCAUCACUACACAGCCGCCGAGCUCAAGAAGCUCGUGAAGGAGGGUCUGGGCGCCAUGACAGCGUCUGAGGCGACGGACUUUAUGGAGUGCCCGGUGACAGAGGCCCAGGUGCAGCAAGCAGCACGAAUGACGCGCAAGGCGCAGUUUGUGGCGUGGAUACUGUCUGUUCACAAAGCUGCGGUACAGCAGCAGUCCCGCGAGUAGGGCGCCGAUGCGGCUGUGCCCUCGCUCUCUCCCGGUAGGUAUGCUUGCAUCUCUUCAACAGUACUACCCCUGGCCCCCACGUGUGUUGUUGUUGGUGUUCUUCGUCCCUGAUGACGUCAGUCAUUUCACUGUUGCAUCAGGGUCCAGUCCCCACUCUUUCUGGGGAGGCCCACGGAGGCUGCAGCCUGCGCCUGGGGUACGGCUGCGUGCUCUUGGUGUCGGCAAACCAGUCUGGGCCGGCACUUCGCUAAAGCGGGUUGCGGUCAUUAUCGCGUUUGUGAGGCCAGAUCACGACGAAUCAUGUCGACGACUCAAC
rnacentral:misc_RNA from 1 species